GGUGAGCAGGCCGUUCUGGACGGAGAACAUCUGGUCGUGGACGUGGAUGGCCUUCACCUGGAGGACAGGGAGGCAUGGAUCAACGCAGGCACCCGCACGGACCCCUGCAGGACCCAACCAGCACCUCGUUGGUUGAUUGACUGCUGACGACGUCUACAUUACUGACGAUUACCUGCUCAAAGGACUUGAGGCCUGCUUGCUUGCCAAUGGUCAGCAGGUCAUCCAGGAUGGCCGCCUUCACCUCCUGGGAGCACAGCAAGGGGAAUUAAGAAGAAGCUGAAAAUGAUGUCACAUUCAGAUCAUUUAUGUUGUUGCAGAUGUUUACUCGUCUAUUAACCAUAUAUUGAUUGAGUACAAUUA